CAGCAGCCACGGGAAUACAGAGGGUGCGAGCGUUAAUCGGAUUUACUGGGCGUAAAGCGUGCGUAGGCGGCUUUUUAAGUCGGAUGUGUAAUCCCCGAGCUUAACUUGGGAAUUGCAUUCGAUACUGGGAAGCUAGAGUAUGGGAGAGGGUGGUAGAAUUCCAGGUGUAGCGGUGAAAUGCGUAGAGAUCUGGAGGAAUACCGAUGGCGAAGGCAGCCAUCUGGCCUAAUACUGACGCUGAGGUACGAAAGCAUGGGGAGCAAACAGGAUUAGAGACCCCGGUAGUCCCUGUCUCUUAUAC
rnacentral:rRNA from 1 species